rnacentral:lncRNA from 1 species
CGGCGACGAGCGGAGCGCGCACGCGGCUCGCAGAAGGCAGGGCGCGCAACACGGCGGCCGUGCAUGGUGUGAGAGCCAGGGGCCUCGGAUGAACCAGCGCGCUCCCAUGUCCGGUCGCCAACGCUUGAACAAUAUUGAUAAUAAUUUGCAAGUGCUCGUGCGCGGGUGACUGGCGCGAUGGGGCGGUCGCAGAGCCCCAUGGAGCUCGGCUAGAGGCGCCCCCACGGCUCCGGCACCCCCGCUGCGGCAUCGGCAUGGAACCGCCCGACCGCGACCGCGACCGCGGACACCGCCCUCUAGCC